CGUAGACUAUGUAGAACUACAUGUACCAUUUUGGGACAAUUAGAAAAGUGUUUUCUAUAGCUAGUAGAUUUAGUUCGUUUAUUUGAAUUUCUUCAAAAAAUUCACAUUUGAACUACAAGUCACUCGAAACUUGGAAAACUAUUGGGGACUUGUUCUCAAAUACUAUGAAUUAAGAACAAGGCAACACGAGAUUUUAAGUGUUAAUACCCUUCGUCCUUCGAAGCAUUAUUCCCCUUAGGAUAUAAUGAUCUUCAGACGAAGGGCAUGAAGGACAUACCUUCAUCAUUGCAAUAUGUAUUAAUAAAAGAAGAAGCAUAUGAAGCACAUGAAGUGUAAAAGAAAACAUAAAUAAUCAUAUAACAUUGUUAAUUCAUUCUUAUUAUAUUAUCAUGGAAAGACAGAAAUAAUAUCGAAUUACAAAAGUACCUUCGGCUUGACAGAAGGCAAAAAACACCAACGUGGCACAAAAGCAAAUACCAGUCAGCGUGAACAGUAUGGGGGUACUGUUCACCUAUUUAUAGGCAUGGGACAUAGCCCGUGUAAAAUUACAUCUAGGCCCUUUACAUUUGCUAAUAACUUUAAGGUAAUUCACCGGGGGUCUAAAUAGCCUUUUCCCUUUUAAGUCGGUUCCCUUUUCUAUCGUUACGCCGAAGCUUCCUUGCACGUAGCUUCGACGCUGCGUCAACCUUCGUAUCAUUCGUGCUUUUCACACUACGUGAUUCUGCUCCGAGACCGAAGGCACCUGUUCACAUAUUACACUUGGAAAACAUUGUUAAAUUAUGUUUUUGAGGACCUUCAGAAGACGAAGGCCCCCAACAGUAGCCCCUCGUAAUAUUAAUUUGUUAGAAUAACGAAUUCAUAUUGCGACAUGGACGAAGGCCCUAAGUCGAAGGUCCAGAAAAACACCUUCCCUUUGCUUUAAUAGCCACAGUCAAUGACAAACGGGACCCUCCAACUUGGAGCGCGUCGAUCGUAUAAAUAGGAACUCACCCUGAGCACAUUUGGUAUGCUACUUGCCGCUUGUUUUGUUUACUCAAUUUUUAGCUCUUGCUUGCCAACGCCUGUUUAGUUUCUCAGACUUCCUAAGCUUCGGUUUUAAGGACGCAUUUUCAUUAUUUCCGAAGAAAAGAUGUCUCAAGACAAAAAAGUUGCUGCUAAGACGAAGCUAAACGAAGAGGAGAAGCUCCUUGAGGAGAAGACUGCUGGAUUUGUUGAGUCAAUAGAAAAAACAAAUACAGAGAAGAUUACUAAAGAGAUACUAGAAGGCUUGUCUGAAGAUACCGAUGAUAGCGACAAUUAUGAUGUGGAGAGUAGAGGCGAAGACUCUGAAGAUCGGCCCUGGCGACCAAGUCAUGCAGUCUUCGGGAAAUCAACUAUCAAACAGAGUCAUAUUGAUAAUAUGAGAGGAAGGUAUUUUCGAGAUAUGUCUAUUGUGAGGGCUGACGUAGACAGAGUCGUUCCUGCUCCCGAAGAAAACGAAGUUGUGAUCUUCCGAAGCUUCUUCAAAGCUGGACUUCGAUUCCCGUUGAGCAGAUUUGUGGUUGAAGUUUUAAAGACAUACCAGAUUUUCCUUCACUAGAUCACUCCUGAAGCAGUUAUUAGAAUGGGGAUCUUCGUCUGGGCUGUGAGAAGUCAAGGUCUAGAGCCAAGCGCAAGAUGUUUUUGCAGUAUGCACGAGCUUUCGUAUGAGACGAAGCCCUGGGGUAAGGAACAAUAUCAUAACAAUUUCGGUUGUUAUAGCUUCGUUGCUCGCUCUGGCGCAAGCUACCCAGUGCCAACGUUUCGAAAGAGAUGGCCCGGGGCCUAGAUGGAAGAGUGGUUUUACGUGAAAAAUGAUUUGAAGGCGAGAGAAGACAUUAAAGAAAUCAUCAUGCGCCCCAUCUGGUCCUGCUUCGGCCUUCGUAAACCGAAGGUAGAAAUUGAUGAGGCAGCCGAAGCAUGCCGAAGGGCCUUCAGCACAGUUUGCUCUUUUAUUGGGACAAGAGACUUAGUUCAAGAACAUGUAGCCUACAGGAUAUGGCCACUGAUAGACAGCUGGGAAAUGCCGAAAGAAACCAUCACUAACCCUAGCGAAGGUUGCCUGGUUCGAUUGAAAUAUACCUUCAGGUUUGGAGACCAGUUUGUCGAACCAGAUGAUGACUGGCUGAAGUGUGUUGAAAAUACUAGCGAUGAGUUACUUGGAGCAUAUUCCAAGUCCGAAGAUAAUGCACUAUCGGCGGCCUUCGGGAGCCGAAAAAAGAAAAGAUUAAAUAGGGUUUUUGAUGCUAUUGGAUUUGUGUACCCUGACUCUCGCUACCCGCCACGGGGGCAGAAAAGAAAGGGUGUAACCUCUGUAAAGGUUGCUGCUUCGGCCGCUCCAAGCGUGCCUGCGCCGAAGAGUAAAAAGUUGAAGGUCCUUAGCCACCGACCACGUUAUAUUGAACCGGUCGUAGUGCCUGAGUUUGGUGGGGAGACCUCUUCAGCUACUGAAGCGAAAGGACAUGCUCCUCCCACGCAGAAGAUUGAAGAGCCGGCUGCAAUGCCGAAGGCACCCUCAGCCAAGUUAGCUGAGCCGAAGACUAAUAAAACUGAGGAGCCAUGAAUCAAAGGAACAAAAACAUUAGAAGUUUUAAGCCCUUCGGCAGAAGUGACAAUGCCGAAGGCACAAAAAAGGUCUUGCGGCGACCCCCAAGAGAAAAAAGAUGGCAAGUGUACUAUAUGUGCUGGAGACGGUAAAGGCUUCAAGCUCUACUCCAGGGAGAAUUGCCAAGGCUUCGAAAGUGCAAAUUGAAGCCAAAACAAAACUGACCGAAGCCGAAGCUGCAAUGAGCCAGGCUAGCGCCGAAGCUAGGGCUUCAGAGCCUGCUAAGGAAAAAUCCUCGGAAAUUGGAGAGAAGGCAACAGAGGAAGAGGCUAUAGAACAGACUUUGCCUAAAAAAGUUGUCACUCCUACUCCCGAAGCAUCUUCCGAAGACCUUGAUUAUGUUAUUCGACAUGCUUCGGGAAAAAGAUUAUCCGAGGAAGAAAUUUUUGAAGCCAAACACUAUGCCCGAGAACUGAAGUACCCGAAAGGGGCCUUAGUGUUUAAUGGUAAAGAUGAAGAUGAUUUCUGGUAUUGCCUCCCAGACAACAAAGAAUUAUCCUUCUGCCGGGAGAUGGCCAGAAGUAUGGGGUUUCCGAAGCUCGAAGCUGGCCUCUGUGCCAUGACGAAGGACGAUCUUGCGGAUAGCCUUGCAUAUAAUAGUCUGAAGGUACAAAAGUUGUGAAUUUUGAAGUUUGUGAAUUCUAUAUUAGAGUCUUUUGUUCUCAUGUUAAUCCAUUCAUUCUUUCUUGUAGGGCUUAAUACUUAGCAACGCCUUAAGGGCGCAAAAGAAUGCUGAAGACGAGAGCUGCACUAUCGCUCUCAACAACCUUCGAACAGAGGUUAUCAAGCUGAGAAACGAAGCCACGGAAAAAGACAAAAUUCUACUUACAUUGGUGGACAAAGUAAAGGGGGAUGAAGCUAACUUCAAGGCUCAAUCUGAAAUUCAAAAGAAUGAGAUUGAAGACCUUCGAAAACAACUGGCUGAGGCCAAAUUAAAAUGCGCUGUUGCCGAAGCUGACCGAGAUGCCAGUGAGUACUAGAAAAAUUAUUUUGAAAAAACAGUUGCCGAGCUUCGCGCAUCAAAAGAAAGAUGUUUUGAAAAAUCUGUGGAAUGCGUAAAAAAGAUAAAGACUAGCUUCGCCAACGUGGGCGCGUACUCGAGCGAAGACAACUUCAUAAGAGGCGAUCCUGAGGGCGUAAUCGAGUGGAUCAGCGGUGAAGCUGAAGCUUUUGAAGAGAUUUUGAGUGACCGCGGGGACGUCUGUGCAUUCUAUGGUGCGAGGGUAGUUACAGCUAUUUUGGAGAAGGCAGUGUGCGAACAUGUUAAAACUUUGGCCCAGGUCGAAGCUGCCUUUUCUAUCAACGAUACGAAGGACCCCUCGGCCGAAGCAAGCUCAAUAGGCGGAAAAUUUUUCACUGAUAUCUGGGAAAAUGGUGGCCGAGGGAUGGCCCAUGAAAUAAUGAAGAAGAGCGAAAAUAAUAUUCAUGACGCUCGAAAAGCAACGAAAGCAGCUGAAAAAGCUGCGGAACUCGAAAGACGAAUAGGUAUUACUUAAUGGCUUUUAACUUUGUUUUUUAUUUUUGUGACUUCGAACUAAUUCAUGUCUUCUACCGCAGUUGAACUAUCUCCUCCCCCAGAGCCAUUCGACCCACUGGCCGACCCAGAAACAAAGAAAGCAAUAGAAAUUAUUAAUAUGGCCGAAGCUAUUGUAGAUGAAGUUGUUACCAAGCUGCUAACCGAAGCUACAGAAAAAAAUUCUGAAGGAAGAAGAGUAGCUAUUGUAAAAACAUUUUCUAGAAUAUUAAUGUAACAUUUGCUGAACUAUGUUUGUAAUAUUCAGUGCUUAUAGAUUUGAAUGUAAUAUAUGAGUGGUUUGUAAUUUAGUUCUUUGCGAUGCAUGAAACUUUUUGUACAUACCGUUUUUGAGCCUGCGGCGAAAAAACACCUUCCCUUCUUUUCAUGCUUUGUAAAGAAGAGCUUUUAUGCUUCGUAAAAAUCAUCCAUACUUUAUAAAACAUCAAUGCUUCAUAAACAAUAGAUCCCUUCUUCCGCAUCAGAACUGAUGAAGCUGUGAUUCUCAGCUUACUUUAUGCCUUGGCAUCUUUUUAUUUUUUGUAAAGCAUUGCUCGAAGAUCGGCCUCGUUUUCAAUUGAUGUCAUUGAUGUGAUAUGAUGUUUGAUGUGAUGCUAUGAUAUGUGAUGCGAUGAUAUGAUGCAAAGAAUGAUGCUAAUGUAUCGUGCAAAUGAAUGCCCAAACACACAAAUUCGAAGCUUCAUCCACAACCUUCAUUCCCUAAGGAAUGAUUGAAAUCUCUUUAUCGUUUACUUUUCGGCUGCACCGUUUAUUUUUCGGUGUAAGUUCUGCAUUCCCUAAGGAACGUCUUUUGAACUUCUUCGCCUUCUAUUUCGGUGGUAUUCUCGUUGACUUUUCGCGCUUCGCCUUAUAUUUCGGCGGUAUCUGGCUCUGCAUUCCCUAAGGAACGACUUUUGAGCAGAAAACUUAGGCUGCGCUCCCUUAGAAACGGCUUUUUGAAGCAUCGGCAAACUUACGCUGUGCUCUUUAAGAAUGACUUUUGUAGCUUCGGUGAAACUUUUACUACGAUUUUUAGCUCUGCAUUCCUGAAGGAAUAUCUCUUUGUAGCUUCGGCAUUCUCGUGAGUCUGUGACGAAGGUAUAUUUCAUUUUGAUAUAAACGAAGCUAGUACAGGAAUUUAAAAAAUAACAAGAAAAUUAGGUUUACAUUGAUUGUUCCUUAUUAAAAAGAAAACGACAGUGAAUGUAAAACUAUGCCAAAGGUAGGAUAUGUCUCAAUAUAUAUGUUUUGAUUCUGGCACAGUACUAUUAACUGUGCGAGCUUCGGACCCCUCCCUGAAAUCUCACUGCUGAUGGGUCUGUUGACUCCCUUCUGGCUGCUGGCCUCGAGAGUAGGCAGGCUAUAGUGGUGGCGGAGGUGGAAGCUGUGGCCAAGAAACUUGCGGCUGACUAGCCGAAGCAACAGAAGCUGCGGGAUGAUUACCCGCAUAUUCUGGUAUGUAGGGUGAAUGACACGAAGCGGUGUGCAAGACCUGCUUCGGCUGACUUUGCCGGGUUUCGGCUUCUGCAAUCUCUUUUUGCUUUUGGAUGGUGAUUUGACACGUUCUUGUAUUGUGGCCCUUGUCUUCACCACAAAAUAGGCAGUAGAUCUUCCUGGGUUGGUCCCCAUAUCUUCCUCCGAAGCCCCUGGCGUCUCUGCCUCUUGGAGCUGGCGACCGGAAACAGCUUUGUUGCUGCCCCGAAGCUUGCGAAGAAUACUGCGGCCUCUGCUGUUGACUUCCUCUGUCAUCACUCUGGGUGGAGUUGUGAAUUGACCUGACGUGCCUCGGGUGGAUUCUUCCUCCGAAGCCCCUGGUCAUUUCAGAGAACCUGUAUGCUUCCUCCCUUCUUUGGCGGAAGUCAUUGUCAGCCCGGAUGUACUCAUCCAUCUUCAGAAGCAGCUUCUCUAGAGUCUGUGGGGGCUUUCUAGCGAAAUACUGAGCAGUAGGUCCUGGACGAAGCCCCUUAAUCAUGGCUUCAAUGACAAUUUCAUUGGGCACUGUAGGCGCUUGUGCUCUGAGACACAAGAACCUUCGGACAUAUGCCUGGAGGUACUCCUCAUGAUCUUGCGUGCACUGAAACAAGGCCUGAGCUGUGACUGGCUUCGUCUGGAAGCCUUGGAAACUUGUCACCAGCAUAUCCUUGAGCUUCUGCCACGAAGUAAUGGUCCCUGGCCGAAGAGAAGAAUACCAUGUUUGGGCCACAUUCCGAACUGCCAUGACGAAGGACUUGGCCAUGACAGCUGCACUGCCUCCAUAUGAAGAUAUAGUUGCUUCAUAACUCAUCAAAAACUGCUUCAGGUCUGAAUGCCCAUCAUACAUGGGAAGCUGAGGUGGCUUGUAUGAUGGGGGCCAUGGGAUAGCCUGCAGUUCUGCUGCCAAGGGAAAAGCAUCAUCAAAAGUAAAGGUAUCAUGAUUAAAAUCAUCAUACCAUCCAUCGUUGUUGAACAAGCCUUCUUGAUGAAGCUCCCUGUGUUGGGGCCUUCGAUCUUGUUCGUCUUGAACAAGAUGGCAUACUUCUUCAGUGGCUUCGUCGAUCUGCCUUUGAAGAUCAGCCAGUCGAGCCAUCUUCUCCUUCUUCCUUUGCACUUGCUGAUGGAUUAUCUCCAUGUUUAUGAUUUCUUGGUCCAACUCUUCCUCCUGGAGUGUUGGACUAGUGGCCUUCCUCUUCUAACUUCGGGCCUCUCGAAGAGAAAGGGUUUCCUGGUUCGGGUCUAGUGGCUGUAGUGCGGCAGCCCCUGGCGCUGAAGCUUUCUUCGGUGGCAUGACGAAGGUCAGUGCUUGCCAAAGGUGGUCGAAAAAGGGUUCACCGGAGGUGGCGCCAAUGUUGGGGACUUGUUUUCAAAUACUAUGAAUUAAGAACAAGGCAACACGAGAUUUAAGUGUUAAUACCCUUCGUCCUUCGAAGCAUUAUUCCCCUUAGGAUAUAAUGAUCUUCAAACGAAGGGCAUGAAGGACAUACUUUCAUCAUUGCAAUAUGUAUUAAUAAAAGAAGAAGCAUAUGAAGUGUAAAAGACAACAUAAAUAAUCAUAUAACAUUGUUAAUUCAUUCUUAUUAUAUUAUCAUGGAAAGACAGAAAUAAUAUCGAAUUACAAAAGUACCUUCGGCUUGACAGAAGGCAAAAAACACCAACGUGGCACAAAAGCA
rnacentral:lncRNA from 1 species